GGGCCAAUAGUGUAUACUGAAAAAUCUACGUAAGCAAGCAGAUGAUACAAGUAUAGAAAUUGUCUGCAUAUCCCCAUGUGUGUCUGUGUGCGUGUUUGAGCUCGGGGAUGGCCCAGGCGUGUACUACAAUCGUCCACAAACACAAUAUCGCCAUCUACUGCGAGAGAAAUUACAGAGAUAUCUCUAUGAUUUGGUCCCACAUAGGUGGUGCGGUUUUCAUUAGGGUUUACUGUGUGGCAGUGAGAUACCGUAGUGCUACCAGGGAUGAGGGAAUAGUUGCGGGAAAGAGGCUCCGGAAACAGCUGAUUCCGGGAGACAGACAUCAUUUGUGUUGUUGUAACUCAUAUAGCUAAAGUACUCCUUUCGAACCGUAGUUAACAACACAACAAUGAGAAGAGCUAUAUAAGUUUUACAAGUCUUGUUGUUAUUAUUACAGCAAAUCUGGUUGAAUUUAUUUUUCGAAUUUUUGAUUUUCCAACUAUUAUUAUUAUUACAACUAAGUAAAGUUCAUCCCCAGAGGCGUUUGUGGCUGAGAUUCGGUGGUCUAUAGGAGCUCGGAUUGCAUUCUUCGGGAUCUGAGGAUAUGUAUACGUAGUAAAACGGGAUUGACGUUCACGCUGGUCACGGAGGCGACCAUCGGACCAGUUGUCGUUGUCGUUGGAUCUACCUUUAUUCUAGCCAUUGCAGACGCAUUGGCGGCGGCAAACAACGAAUUCGUUGGGGCAAUGGCGAUCAUCUGUGUUUUUGGCCAGGAAAAAGCUCUGGACAAAAUUUAUUCGGAUUAGGACAUUGCUGAUAGAGAGGUGGUGACUAGCAUUUCGGUGCGGACUGUUAAUGAUGAUGGGCCGCUGGGAUGCUAUACGCUAGAUUACUGUCCAUGGCCGGAAGAAGCACGCCGACGGUAACGAGGCAGCGGGUCUUGGCCCGACGUUUUCGUUCUUCACGCAUAACCGUCGACUGGGCA